GGAAGAUAGACUUCAUUAUUAAUAAGUUACAUCCUCUCAUGCCAACCGAAUCUUGCAGGAUUUUAACUUGGAGAUAGAGUGGGGCUGCGUAUGAUCUUCAUGUUUUUGGACUGGACACGUAGGCUGUUGUCCUCUAGCACGUGCGUGGUCCAUCGCAUGCGUGCAGGACGGUGCUUCGUUUUGUUUCGUUAUGGUCAAAGCCUUAGCCAUCACAAGCUAGAACUAAAGCUUACACAUGUUGAAAUUGGAACCACAAUAUGAAAGUGAACUUUCAUGAAAGCUCUGCCUUAAGAAAAUGUGAGUGAAAACAAAAAUUGAAAGUCGAAAGCGAAAUGAUGGCACCCUUGGAAUUUUCAGAUGGAUUGAUCAAGAGGCACAUGCAAGAUAGGCAAUCACAUAUAGUCACAAUCAAACCAUUUAUACCAACUUUUCUAAUGGGAUUUUUAUGAGGAGGACCAAUUAUACCAACUUUUCUAUUGGGAUUUUUAUGAGGAGGACCUCUUAACCGCUUGCUUACAUUGCCACAGGUGCUCUCAUGAAUCACACAUAUGUACAAUAAAAUUAUCUGUUUGGGUCUGUUUAUAUGAACAAUAAUGUAUCUAUAUGUGGAAUUAGACAAUGAGACAACGGGCAUG